rnacentral:rRNA from 1 species
UACGUAGGUGGCAAGCGUUGUCCGGAUUUAUUGGGUUUAAAGGGUGCGUAGGCGGCCUUAUAAGUCAGUGCUGAAAUAUCCCGGCUUAACCGGGAGGGUGGCAUUGAUACUGUAGGGCUUGAGUAAAGUUGAGGUUGGCGGAAUUGACGGUGUAGCGGUGAAAUGCGCAGAUAUCAGGAGGAACACCGGUGGCGAAGGCGGGUCUCUGGGCCGAUACUGACGCUGAGGAGCGAAAGCGUGGGGAGCGAACAGG